CAGCACCCUGUGAGAGAGGAAGAGUUGUGUCCAGGCGUCCCGGCUCACUCUACUCGCCAGCUUGAGGAGGUUUUCAGAUUAAGUUGCAUCCUAGCAUACUCACAGCAGGACCGGCAAAUCCAUUGGGGCCAGCGGGACCGACCUCACCGCGUUCACCCUGGGUGGGGGGAAGGGAGAUUAAGAAUGGCGCAGCAGUCUUGGGUUCAUUAAGGUCGAAAAGUUAUGAGUGUCCCGGAUGACCCAGGUUUCCACUUACAGGGCUGCCUCGGGGACCAGCAGGACCAGCAGGACCAGCAGGACCGGCUUCACCCUAUAAUGGGACCAAAGAGGAGUUUGUCACAUCCGUGCUCCCAGAGGCAUGUUUCAUUCAGUCUUUAAAACAAAGGAGUUGUUAUUCCAAUACAGUGCAAGUAACUGGGUUUAUUCUCUCCAAAGUACCAAUACUGAGCCAUUUUGAAGAAACGUGUGUUUGGUAACUUUUAUUCCAGACUGACGUUGGCUGUUGGUCAGCCCAAACCGCCCAGAGGAGCAAAGGUGAGUUGCCUUUUUGUACCUUUAGACUUCCCUAGGUCUGUUUUCAUCUUUCCUUUAGGAGCCAACUUUUUUCCCCAUCCUCAGAUCUCAUAAAAACAAAACUGGUAAUGUGAAUUUGUUCCUUACAAUCACUCAUUAGUAUCCACAGUGUGAAUACUGAAAGUGGA